CUGCCCAGGACACCGUAUGGGCUUCACCUUUUCCCUGCCCUGCCUCCUGAGCCCCGCUGCUCUCCCCAAUCCAAAGGGCGCUCAUAAUGGUAAAAGGAAAAAAAAAAAAAAAAAGCCCACGUCUUCUAGCCCUCCUCCUCCGCUUCCUGGUACCUCCUGCCCCCUCCUUCCACAUCCUAGCGGCCUCCUGGUCACCCGGUCGUUGGCUCCACCUUGCAGCACCCAACAAAAUGGCAGGUAGCAUCAGGCGAGGCCGAGAGCACCGGCACCCGCUCCAGCCCAGCGUGGCCCCCGGCCAAACCGCCGGGGGUCUCUGACAGUACCCCAACUCCAAAGAGCCUUCUCCUCUCAGAGUCCCCAAUCCUCGGCCCGCGGGGCCUCCUGCUCGCUCUCCCGGGACCAUUUCUUUCGCCAGCGGAGGAGCAGGUGCCAGCGUAACAGCUCUCAAUAAACAAAGUACAUCCAAAAGGAAGACCUCUUCAAGUUCUUUACCCUGAAAAUGUGCAGCUAUAGUGAGGGACCCCCAGAAUUUCAAUGAAUAAGCCUACAAUGACUUUGAAGUUCCCAGAAGUGCUCAGUGACUCAGAAAAGCCUCAGCUGUGCUUGUCUUAAAAAUUACCACGAAGGGGAAAACUUCACUGUGUCCCUUCCAGCACCCUCCUUGCUGCACCAUGCAUCCCCCACCGUCCCCAACUCUACCUGCUUCCUACCUGCUUCCACAAUGACCAGUGGAAUAAAAAAAAUAUCGUUGAA